rnacentral:rRNA from 1 species
CCCUUAGAUGUCUGGGCUGCACGCGCGCUACACUGAUGUGUCCAGUAAGCACCUAACCUCUUCCGAAAGGAACGGGUAACCUUUGCAAAGCACAUCGUGAUGGGGAUAGAUUAUUGCAAUUAUUAGUCUUGAACGAGGAAUUCCUAGUAAGCACAAGUCAUCAGCUUGUGUUGAUUACGUCCCUGCCCUUUGUACACACCGCCCGUCGCUCCUACCGAUUGAAUGUUCCGGUGAGCUCUUCGGACUGCGCGGUCUGCAGUUUCUGCGUUCCGUGCGGAAAGUUGCGCAAACCUUAACAUUUAGAGGAAGGAGAAGUCGUAACA